UGGGGAAUAUUGGACAAUGGGCGCAAGCCUGAUCCAGCCAUGCCGCGUGAGUGAUGAAGGCCCUAGGGUUGUAAAGCUCUUUCACCGGUGAAGAUAAUGACGGUAACCGGAGAAGAAGCCCCGGCUAACUUCGUGCCAGCAGCCGCGGUAAUACGAAGGGGGCUAGCGUUGUUCGGAUUUACUGGGCGUAAAGCGCACGUAGGCGGACUUUUAAGUCAGGGGUGAAAUCCCGGGGCUCAACCCCGGAACUGCCUUUGAUACUGGAAGUCUUGAGUAUGGUAGAGGUGAGUGGAAUUCCGAGUGUAGAGGUGAAAUUCGUAGAUAUUCGGAGGAACACCAGUGGCGAGGGCGGCUCACUGGACCAUUACUGACGCUGAGGUGCGAAAGCGUGGAGAGCAAACAGG
rnacentral:rRNA from 1 species